AUUGAACGCUGGCGGCAGGCCUAACACAUGCAAGUCGAGCGAGCGGCGGACGGGUGAGUAAUGUAUGGGGCUCUGCCUGAUGGCGGGGGAUCACUACUGGAAGCUGUAGCUAAUACCGCAUUCCAUCAGGUGCACACAUAUGGGAUUAGCUAGUAGGUGGGGUAACGGCUUACCUAGGCGACGAGCCGUAGCUGGUCUGAGAGGAUGAUCAGCGAAACUGGGACGGAGACACGGCCCAGACUCCUACGGGAGGCAGCAGUGGGGAAUAUUGCACAAUGGGCGCAAGCCUGAUGCAGCCAUGCCGCGUGUAUGAAGAAGGCCUUCGGGUUGGAAAGUACUUUCAGUCGGGAGGCGUUACCGACAGAAGAAGCACCGGCUAACUCCGUGCCAGCAGCCGCGGUAAUUC
rnacentral:rRNA from 1 species